CUGCCCUGCCAUCCUGGACACACCAAGUCUCAUCUGAUUAUGAAAGCUAAGCAGGGUCGACUCUGGUUGGGGUUGGGAUGGGAGACCAACAACAGGGAACAUCAAGAUUGUCCAGA
rnacentral:rRNA from 1 species